rnacentral:rRNA from 1 species
UCGAUGGGAAGCAGGUUAAUAUUCCUGCACGACUUGUAAUUGCGAUGGGGGGACGGAGAAGGCUAGGUGGGCCAGGCGACGGUUGUCCUGGUGAAAGUGCGUAGGUGGUGUUUGUAGGCAAAUCCGCAGACACAACGCUGAGACACGAGACGAACACACUACGGUGUGGAAGCCAUUGAUGCCCUGCUUCCAGGAAAAGCCUCUAAGCUUCAGAUUACAAGUCAUCGUACCCCAAACCGACACAGGUGGUCGGGUAGAGAAUACCAAGGCGCUUGAGAGAACUCGGGUGAAGGAACUAGGCAAAAUAGAACCGUAACUUCGGGAGAAGGUUCGCUCUUGAUGGUGAAGUCCCUUGCGGAUGGAGCUGUCGGGAGUCGCAGUGACCAGAUGGCUGGGA